UCCUGUGGCCUCUCUCUCUGUAUGUACUGGUUUCUUUGUGACCUUCUCCCCCAGGACCUCGAAUGGGAUGCUGGACAUUCCUCCUGAGAAACCUGAGGAGGAUAUUAAAAACACAGCCACAGUUUUCCUACUGCUUGCUGCCAGGCUUCUUAGGGGCCCAGCUGCUGGGGGCUAAUGGCUGAGCAUGGUGGCUCAUGCAUGUAAUCCCAGCACUUUGGGAGGCUGAGGUGGACGGAUCACAAGUCAAGAGAUCGAGACCAUCCUGGCCAACAUGGUGAAACCCCGUCUCUACUAAAAAUACCAAAAUUAGCUGGGUGUGGUGGCACGUGCCUGUAGUCCCAGCUACUUGGGAGGCUGAGGCAGGUGAACCGCUUGAGCCCGGGAGGCGGAGGUUGCAGUGAGCUGAGAUUGUGCCACUGCACUCCAGCCUGGUGACAGUGAGACUCUGUCUCAAGAAAAAAAAGAAAGACAGAAAGAGCUUAUGUGUGCCAAGAAAUAUGGGCACGGCCACAAGGCAUUCUGGGACCUCAGGAACAAAGGCUGAUGGGAGAGGACCACUGUGGAGUUUCUAAGGGGGCCAAUAAAGAGCACUCCUUUUCUCCAUUCAAUUUUUGAGCCAAUUGAGAAAUAAAGCCAAGCAGUCAGCAGAUGGAGGCCAACAUACCUGCUACCUGCAGGUAGCUCCUUAUUGAUCAAUGCUACUUGGGAAAGCAUAGCUUCUAUCUUCAAGCAAGUGCAGUUCUUAUCAACUAAACUUUGGGAUUUGACCAACUUGCCCAUCAGCCUCAGGCAACACCAGAACAAGGCAGGCUUUGCCUCUGGAGAAAGAUGCCCCUCCUGCGGGUAGCUCCUAAGAAAAGGAAAAAAGCUAAGCUAUAUAUGACACAGUUUUUCUUCCAAAUUCACCAACCGGGGUUUGUAAGGCACAAAAUGAGGAGGCCACUAUGCCUUCCCUCAAGAGGUUCACAUUGGCAAGUACCAGAGAGCAAAAGACAAUGUUCUAUUAGAUUCUUUCUACUGAUGCCGGAGAAUCCAAUCUGCAAGACAGAAGACCUUAGAAAUGUCCAGCAAAGCAUAUGGAGAAUCCUUGAGCCAAAGUCACCCAUCCAAGGAGCUCAUGUCUCUCUGCCAUGCAUAGUCACUGGCUGGAAUCAGUCUGUGAGAAGCAUGGCUGUGGUGCAGUAAAUGUGAGCAUGGAUUUCAGACUGCAGUAGCAAGACUGUUGUCAACCCCAGUCCUUGCAGUGCAGAAGUGAGAGGUGCAUUGUCAUGGCUGCCACAGCCCUAUAUCCUCAUGACUUUUCUUACCUGGAGAAAUGGUAAAAAACAGGGAAAUGGUCUCCACUUCCCACAUUCAGAUCUGGCAUGAGUGCAUUUAAUUUGCAUGGCAAACUCUAGCCACAAGUAAGCCAAGAAAUUGUAAUUCCCCUUUCCAGCUCCCACUAACACCCGCCCUCUGCCCCCUGCCCCGCCCCCCAACACACACACGAUGGGAAGGCACACGAGAAGCGGAAAUGAAUACUAGAAAAAACACCACUUUGGGGUAAAGUGGCACGCCUGAGAUUCCAGCACGAGGAAGUCUAGAUGACAACCCAGCCUUCAGAUUCCCAGUAUGUCUCACAUGGAAAAAGCAAAACUAAAAUCCACCACUUUGAAUGGCAAAAAGCGACCAUGAGUAGAGAGUCCCGUAUCACAGCAAGACCUUCACCUCUGUGAAACUCAGUUUCUAGGUUUGUAAAAUGGGCUUGUCAUGGGAUAUUGUUGUAAGAAUUCAACAAAAUUGUGGAUAUAGAAGGGCUUUUGGGGUUGUACAUACCUAAGGGAUUUCAGUGUCAGUGGAGGGCAUGGCUAGCUUUUUCUCAUCCUCUUCUUCUACAAGAUGGAUGUCUGGCCUGUCUCUGGCAGGUCGUCUUGGGGGAUUGGGUCUUCCUCCAGGUGGGUCAUUACCUGUGGGUGUCUGUUGCUGGAGACAUAGCUGGUUCCAGUGAGGAUCCAGCUGCCCUUCUCCAUGUGGCUGAGAUACCACAGUACAGCAAAGGCAUAUUAGAUCCCACUGAAAAUUCAAGCAGGUCUUUA
rnacentral:lncRNA from 1 species